AACGAAGAGGACGAGCAUUAUUCGUCUUGAUUGGGUGUAAAGGGUUUGUAGGUGGUUUAUUAAGUCUUAAAUUAAAUGUUAAAUUAAAAUUUGAUAAAGUUUCUGAUACUAUUAAACUAGAGUGUUUUUGAGAAUAAUUGUAUUUCAGGUGUAAAGGUGAAAUUUUGCAAUAUUUGAAAGACAGGCAUAAGGCGAAAGCUAUUAUUUAAUUAAUAUCACUGACACUGAUAAACGAAAGCAUAGGGAGCAAAUGGG
rnacentral:rRNA from 1 species